AUACACUACCAUUCAAACGUUUAAGGGUCAGAUUGAUCAUGUAUUUAAAAGAAAUAUUUUAUGCUCACUACUGCUGCAUUUAUUUGAUUAAAAUACAGUAAAAUAGUAAUAUUUGAAAUUACUAGGGGUGUCCUCGACUAAGGUUUUUCAUAGUCAAAUCAGAAUUUUCGAAUCUUGCUAAUAUUCGACUGAUAGUCUAAUCAUAUAUUUGGGGGCAGAAUGCAUUGAGUCAAGUCAGACAUUCGACAGUCAUAAUUACUGAUCUUAACACACAGGUAAAAUGUGUAAUGAACACCUCGCAGAUACAAACGGGGUAAAUAAUAGUUCAUCAUUGAUAGAUCUUUUCUAUUUCAGACUGAAAAUCAUUGAUAAACCACAAGCUCCAACCCCAAUUAAGCAGACCUGAGCAGCUGAUCAAGGAUCACCAGAAACUCCGCAGAACGUUGGUCCUCCAGCCCAGGACUGGACACCAGUGUUAUGCUGGAGAAAAAACAGCAAGGCUAAAGCAUUCAAAGUGGAAACAUCUACCGUGGCUCAUUAAUCCAGAAUUGGGAUGGAGGAAGGAUCAGAAGAAGCAGAAGAACAGAGAUCAGGCAGAAAUCUACUGGUGCCUCUGUGGGAACCCAUUUACCUAAUUUGUUAGAUAAACGAAAGAUUUUCCUCACUCAUCUUUAUGUUUUUCCA